rnacentral:rRNA from 1 species
UACGAAGGGGGCUAGCGUUGCUCGGAUUGACUGGGCGUAAAGAGCGUGUAGGCGGCCGUACAGGUCAGCUGUGAAAACUCGAGGCUCAACCUCGAGACGUCGGUUGAAACCGUACGGCUAGAGUCCGGAAGAGGAGAGUGGAAUUCCCGGUGUAGCGGUGAAAUGCGCAGAUAUCGGGAGGAACACCAGUGGCGAAGGCGGCUCACUGGACCGGUACUGACGCUGAAGCGCGAAAGCGUGGGGAGCAAACGGG